CCUCCCGGAACGCAUGCGCAUUACGCAAAUGCAAAGCGCCCCUCCCCCGCGCGGGUCACGUGAGUGCGCGCGCUCCUCACGUGAGCGCUGGGACUCGGUAAUUUACCCAGAAGCCUGCACGCCUCUCUGAGGUCAAGAUGGCGAUGAGGGCACCAGUUUCAGCAAGUGGUCGACUGUUAGAAGGCUUUCGCAAAUGGUAUUACAACGCAGCUGGAUUCAACAAACUUGGAUUAAUGCGAGAUGAUACCAUAUAUGAAAAUGAUGAUGUAAAAGUAGCACUGAAGAGGCUUCCAGAAAAUCUUUAUAAUGAACGACUAUUUCGCAUCAAGAGAGCCCUUGAUUUGAGUAUGAGACAACAAAUUCUUCCUGAAGAACAAUGGGUGAAAUAUGAAGAGGUAUUUGUAAAUUCGCUUUUUUUUUAAUAUAGGCAAUUUAUCUAUUCUCAUCUUUAAAUGUUUUUUACAUUAUGUGAAUGCAGUCCUUCUAUACAAGUUUGGCUAUGUCCUGUUAAAUGAAAACAAUAAAUUCUUAUUGGACAGAAGACGGCCUACUAAGCCUUGAUCCUGAAAAACUUCCAUGUGCUUAAUUUCACACCUGUGCACAGUCCCAGGGAAACCUAUAGCCGACUCGUAUGAGUAAAGUUGAGCAAGUAUGUAAGUGUUUUUCUGAGAUACUUAGAAUUUGCUCUUGUAUCUUACAGGAUGCAUUUAAUAGUAUUUUACUUUUGUUCAGUGUACUAUUUUGUAUCUUUAUAUAAAUGGAAAAAUCGUUUGAGUUGCAAAGUCAAGCACUUGAAAGUUUGGAAAUGCCAUAUUUACAUUUGCUGUGCAACCUUAAUUCUGCUCUCUUGUGUGUGCAUGCAUUCUGAUAGUCAGUCAUUAGAUCACAUACUGUUUUUUCCACGGGACUCCUGCCUCAUGCACUGAAUGAAUUUGUGUGAUUGUUCUUUAAUGUAUUUUUGGUAUAAUUUUUUAGCCUUUUCUAAAAGAAAAGGUUAAACUCAAAUUCUGGUUGAAAAUUGUGAUGGAUGUUAGUUUCAUCAGGGUUUGAAUCCUGAGCUUUCAGCAAUGCUGCAUGCUUGACCUAUAGGACCAACUACAUUAGCAGACAGCAGGAGAAGGCUGUUCUCAUAGACUCUAAGGUCAUAAAAGACCAUCAUGAUGAUCUAGUCCAGGGGUGGGCAAACUAUGGGCCACCGGCCUUCAAGCUCCCACUGGGGAGCGGGGUCUGGGGCUUGCCCCUCUUCGGCACUCCAGGUGGGGAGCAGAGUCAGAGGCCAUUCCACGCAGCUCCUGGAAGCAUCCACAGGCCUCCCUUCAGCGCUCCAGCUGGGGAGCAGGGUUGGGGGCUGCUCCACCUGGCUCCCAGAAGCCGUGGCAUAGCCCUUUCUAGCACUCCAAUGGGAGCUGCAGGGGUGGUGCUUGCAGACGGGGCAGCAUGCAGCAGAGCUGCCUGGCUGCGCCUCCGUGUAAGAGCUGGAGAAAGGACCUGCUGCUGCUUCUGGGAACUGCUUGAGGUAAGUGCCGCCUGAAGCUUGCACCCCUGAGCCUCUCCCCAUGCCCCUGCUCCAGCCCUGAUCCCCCUCCAAACCCCUCAUUUCAGCCUGGAGCACCCUCCUGCACCCCACUCUUCAUCCCCACCCCAGAGCCCGAACCCCAAGAUGGAGCCCCCUCCUGCACCCUGAACUCCUCAUUUCUGGCCCCAUCCUGCUCCCCAACCCCAAUUUUUUGAGCAUUCAUGGCCUGCCAUAAAAUUUCUAUUCCCAGAUAUGGCCCUUGUGCCAAAAAGUUUGCCCACCCCUGAUCUAGUAUGAUCGUCUGCAUAUUUCAGGCCACAGAACCUCACCCACUUGUAAUAGAUUGCUCACCUCUGACAGUUACUGUAGUCUUCAAAUCAUGUUUUAAGGAUGAUUUAUUCCAAAGGGCGGUGAGGAAUGGGCUGCUGGCACCAUAUAGUAGAUCUGGGGGAACCUGGCCAGGCGGUCUCCCUUCCUCCGCACCCCCAAGGGAUGGGAUUUCCUACGCACGCACGCACACACCAAUUUGGUACCCCAUGGGUGAGAGAUGAGCUGCUGAGACCGUAUGCUGAUUCUGGAGUUUAUAGUGGUGGCCAGAGAGAAUAUGGGGUGGUUCUACUUUUUCCCCUGGUGCUACAUCUGCUCUGAUAGCUCCUGUAUAUCCACAUGGUGGUUGACCCUCAGAAUAGUCAUGUUUACUAUCUGCAUUCUGCCCAAAUUUUCCUGAGGAAUGUAAACAAAAAAAAGUGUGUUAGCUAAACUUGAAUGGAAUUUCUUGGGAAAAGGCACUUCUCUAGAUGGAGGACUUUCUUGUUACUGAGUUUCAAAGGCCUGUUACAAACAGUGUAGAUGUUAGUUUCUCAAAGUCACAGGAAUCUUAUACUGUGAAGUUGCAACCUGCUCCCCCUUCUCCCCCCAGUUUUCAGGUUUUUAAAAAAUAAUUGAAAAGAAAUUAAAGCAAUGUAGUUGCUUAACUCAUUUUUUUAAAUGCAGAAUUUACCUUGCUGAAAACGCUAGCUUAGCCAAGUUUCAUUGCUUCAACCUGUUUUGCAAACUAGAUUUUCAUGCAUCUCUAUCCACAUCAGAUGGCAUAGGUGAGACUGAAUUUACAGUGUAGUGUCAUAUCCUUCAAUAGAACCCCAUUAGGCGUGAUGACUGGCCAUUGAAUUCAGUUGAGGUGGAACAAAAUAUCCCAGCUUGGCACUGAGUUAACAUUCCACCUCUGUAGGAUUCUGUCAGCUGGAGUAUAGAGGGAAAUGCAGUUGUGGGCUUAAUUUUUCAAGAGUCAUAAUUGCACAGUGAAUUUGAAUUCUUGAAGGCAAUGACAGAGAUUUCAGGUAACUCUUCUGAAAAUUCUUUUCUAUGUAUGUACUUAACACAACAAAUAUAACUGCAUUUUGGAAUUUUCCAAAGGUCCCCAAACCCUUAACAAAAGUUAAGGAAAGCCUGCAGAGCUCUUUAAUUUAACAUUUUGUCUUCCAACAAGGGCAAAUGAUUUGAAAUGCGAUUGUUUGCUGUAGAAGAAAAGUCCUUGCACAAAACUGCUUGCAGUCUAAAUGUGCAAACAAAAUGCGUACAUAGGUUGAUCUUAAAAUUAUGCAUGUGAUCUUUGAAUCUAUAGCUUGUGCUUGGUAUUGGUAAUUUAUUGAAUGGUCACAUUGCCAAGUUCUUCAAUUAACAAUAUGGUCUAUAUGAUUAUACCAUUAAGCCAGCUGCAUUUAUAGCAUCUUCUGUAAUCUGUUUAAUUCACUUGCUAAUGUGGGUCAGUAUUUGAAUGACAGUGAUUUAAUAGUGACUUGCUGCUUGCAUUUGUUAAAUUUCAACUUAAGUCUGUAUUCUGCCUACCAAAAUUUCCCUUGCAGUUUCAACUGGAUAUGUAUUCUUCAUUUUCUGUCCUAAAUAGUUUACUUCUGGGGGAAUUCUGCUCCACUGAACAAAGCAGAAUUGUGCAGAAAUUAAAGUGCACACAGAAUUUUCUUUCUCACAGAAACGGGCUGCAGUGCUCUAGGUCACCACUAGGGGCCGCUGGACCAGGCAAAGCCAAGCUUGCACAUAGAGACACUAUCUGGGGGAGGUUUCAGAGUAGCAGCCGUGUUAGUCUAUAUUCGCAAAAAGAAAAGGAGUACUUGUGGCACCUUAGAGACUAACAAAUUUAUUUGAGCAUAAGCUUUCGUGAGUUGCAUCGGAUGAAGUGAGCUGUAGCUCAUGAAAGCUUAUGCUCAAAUAAAUUUGUUAGUCUCUAAGGUGCCACAAGUACUCCUUUUCUUUUUACCUGUGGGAGGGAUUUGGAGGGUUCCUGGCAGCUUCAAUUUCCAGCAUGCCCUGAGGGAAGGAGACAGCUGUGCACAGGAAACUCCAUGCAAGCCUGGGACCAAGCAUCAGGCUGUUUCUCCCUGUAGAUCCCUGGGCUUGGGGGGAGGGGCCAUUGCUGGGCUCUGGGGGCAGGGGUUGUGGGUGUCUGGCUCUCCAGCUGGGCUCUCAGAGGGAAGGGGGCAGAGAAACAGGAACUGGGUUGUCAUAGUUUCUUUAAUUCUCUACUCCUGGGGAAAUUUUUGUGUGCAUCGGUAUUGUUACAGACAUACUUGCUGACAGAUAUUUUGAAAUAAAUUACCAAAAUAUUGAAAUGGUGUGAUUUAUGUAGUGUUGUUUUUGAAAAAUAACAUUUGCAGAAUUUUAGAAUUGUGCACAGAAUUUUUAUUUUUUGGGCACAGAAUGCCCCCAGGAGUAAUAGUUCUGUAUUAUUGCUGUGUUUUAACAGAAGUCUGUACUUCUCUUUAGUGGAGAACAGUGACUUGUCUAAUAAUUCCUAGCACUUAAAUAGCUCUGCAACGGCAAACAAAAAUGUUUUAUAAAACAUCUUGUAUGAAUUUGGGUUGCAAGGUGUUCUAUCUUGCAUACCAUCUCAUGAAACAUGGUACUAUCUCCUAAACUCUACUGGAUGAGAUCUAUGAUGCUAAAAGAAUAUAAAAACUUUGAUUGUUGAAGCCAAAUCACCUGGUAUAAUUACAAAAUAUAAAAAGGAGUUGUUCAUUGUACAACGUUGUGUUGCAUGGUCUAGUUAGGAUAAUUUAUUCCAAAACAAGAAGUUGGCCAGGAAUCCAGAGUUAGUUGUUAUCCUAAAGCUGGUGUGACAUUAUAAGGUAAACCAAAAAAAUGCUCCCCAAAUGUCUGCAGCAGGAUAUUGAUCACAACGAUCCCUUCUAGCUUUGGAAUCUUUCAUUAAGAGUUGAAGAUUCUGGAUCUUAUCUGAGAUGGGCAGGUCUUUCAUGACCUGCUUUUAAGUGUUUGGGAGCUUCCUUUCAGGAACAGAAGGGAUUCGAACAAACUAUCCAUAUUGGAAAGGUGGUGGGCAAGACUGACCAUAGUUGCACUGACCUGGAGAAGUAGCUAUCCAAAGGGAAAAUAACUUGGGGUAUAGGAGAAAGGAAGACUAGAAUUGCUUGUGGGCAAGAUUAAUACAUUUUUAAAUCCAUAGGAUCCUACAGAUAAUGGAUUACUCAAGUAACUAAACAUAGCUGUACGGAUUCACAACAGUUGCAUGUAGUUGUGAAACUAUUUCUUGGACGCUACUUCUGCAGCUCAAGGAAUGGAUUGGAAGAAACUGAAGGGCAUUAAAUGCUUAAAAUACAAAAAUUUUAUUCUACAAAUAAAAUAAGAGCUUAGUUCAACCAUUUUAAUUGGCCUUUGAAUUGUUGAUCAUGUGGAACUCAAGUUUCACCCAUAAAAUAGCUAAAACCAUGUGAAUAAGAAGGUAGUCUCUAAAAUGUAGGAUGAUCAAAGCUUGGUUAUUCACUAGAGCACUUUGGUAUUGAACAGGGAGUUGGAAAAACUCCUGUGCUUUUGCCAUGGAAGACCUGCAAGAGGGCGUAACUUGGAGAUGGCGUUGUACAUGAAAGCAUGAUUUGGCCUGGUCAUGGUGAUGAGGCAUGAGAAGGUAGAACACAGCUUGACAAUCAGAUGACAGGCUGAAUUUGCAGAAAUUGCAGCUAGAAAAUUCAUUCUUGGCCCCUUAAAGUAGGCAAGGUUUGAUAUGAAUUUGAGAAACACAGAACCCCUGUAUGCCAUUUUCAGUCGCACUUCCAGAGUUAGAGUUGCACUUAGUGUGACAUUUCUUGCAUGUUUUUUUUUUUAAAUCUGUUCUGUUUCAGGAUAAAAAGUAUCUCGAACCAUACCUGAAAGAGGUAAUCUGUGAACGACUUGAAAGAGAAGAGUGGGACAGGAAGUAACUGCUGGGAAGAUACUUCAUGCAAGCUGCUGCAUUUCUUUCUAACAAAUAUUUUAAAGUUAUGGUAAAAAUCUGUUGGGAGGCAAAUCUGAGGCUGAAGAAACUUUGUUCACUGAAUUUGUCAGUCCAACUAAAAUAAACACGUCAAAGUACAAAA